rnacentral:rRNA from 1 species
UACAGAGGGGGCAAGCGUUGUUCGGAAUUACUGGGCGUAAAGGGCGCGUAGGCGGCCUGUUAAGUCGAACGUGAAAUCCCCGGGCUCAACCCGGGAACUGCGUCCGAUACUGGCAGGCUUGAAUCCGGGAGAGGGAUGCGGAAUUCCAGGUGUAGCGGUGAAAUGCGUAGAUAUCUGGAGGAACACCGAUGGCGAAGGCGGCAUCCUGGACCGGCAUUGACGCUGAGGCGCGAAAGCCAGGGGAGCAAACGGG